rnacentral:snoRNA from 1 species
CCUGCCCCUGGAAGCAGCACGGGUAUGGCUGCCGGGUCACGUGCGUCAGUUGGUGACAGAGAGGAGAGUGGCUAUGUCUACGCUCAGCAUUCUGAACUCCUGAAUGAUUAGUAGCCUAACAUU